rnacentral:rRNA from 1 species
CCUACGGGAGGCAGCAGUGAGGAAUCUUGGACAAUGGGCGAGAGCCUGAACCAGCAAAGUCGCGUGAAGGAUGAAGGAUCUCUGGUUGUUAAACUUCUUUUAUAUGGGAGUAAAGUGAGGAACGUGUUUCUUCUUGUAUGUACCAUAUCUAUACGCAUCGGCUAACUUCGUGCCAGCAGCCGCGGUAAUACGGAGGAUGCGAGCGUUAUCCGGAUUUAUUGGGUUUAAAGGGUACGUAGGUGGUUAAUUAAGUUAGGUGUGAAAGUCUGUGGCUCAACCAUAACAGUGCCGUUGAAACUGGUUGACUUGAGUGUAUUUGAGGAAGGCGGAAUGCGUGGUGUAGCGGUGAAAUGCAUAGAUAUAACGCAGAACUCCGAUUGCGAAGGCAGCUUACUAGACUAUAACUGACGCUGAAGCACGAAAGCGUGGGGAGCAAACAGGAUUAGAUACCCGAGUAGUC